rnacentral:tRNA from 1 species
GUAGUGUAGCUCAGUGGCAGAGCACUUGCCUAGCAUGCAUGAGUAUCCUAGGUUCAAUCCUCCGGCACACG